rnacentral:piRNA from 1 species
GGCCAUUUCUGUGGCUGUUCUUAGUCACAUA